CCCCAAAUUCCUCAGUCAUGUGGGAUGGAUAUUUUACAAAAGUGAACAAAUGCUUAGAGGUUCCACAGACGCUAACAAACACAGAUUCAUUUUACCCAAUUUAGAUUCUGAUGGGUGGAUGCAAGCUUUACAAAUUCUAAAUACACAAUGCACAUUCCCCUGGGGAAAAUGAAUACAUUUCUGUUAACGUGUCUCUAUUUAUCAUUUACAUAUGUACAUGCAUCCCUAAUGUGCCCCUUCCCCCCUUUUCCUUCGACCUUCACCUGUGGCUGAGUAGUGAACACACCGUCUAUUUCAUUCAAACCUUUCUGUUCCUGCCCGAGCACUCACUGCCUCUUCAACGACUGUACAUCGAUAGUACAUGACAGCUCAGAGCAGAGUCUUUAAGUUCAGUUUAUGCCUAUUUGUGUCUACAAAGUGGGAACGAAUACGUGGUAGUGCAUCUUUGAAAAAGGAUAUACAAGUGAACUACAGACAAACGCUAUAGAACUUGAACCCACGUUUUCCUGUUGGGAGUUCUAAGUAUUUAAAUUGUCAACGACAAACAUCAUUUUUGUACAUAAUUCUACACCAAGAACAACAGGGAAAAAACCCCAAAAACUAAAAACUAAUAUUGCAAAUCAUAAAAAAAUAACUUAAAAUGGAAACAUUUUUCAAUGGUGAUGUUUCAUCCAACAAAACACUUCCCAAACAGUAUUCAAUUGUACAGAUGUCAGCCUUCUUCAACAGUCUUUGAGUAACAUCAGUAUCUCGGAAAUGUCGUUACAAACAUCAUAAAUACUGACAAUUAUUCAAGCGGGCCAUUUUGAUUUAAAAACAAAAAAGAAAUCUUAUAGAAAAUCAAUCUUGUACACAUGAACGUUGUUAACCUUCACUAAGCUGCUGAUAUAAAAGUUUGAUUGGAAUUUUACUGAAAUGUACAUUUUCUGUAAGAAUUGAAUGCAUUGAUGGGUAUUGAGAUAAUAUAUAUUUUCAUUAUAUAAUUGAAUUAAAAAGUAAAAAUCUAUAAAUAUAUAACAUUCUAACACUUUCUUCAUUGUUUGCGGUGUAAUAACUAUGAUAUUACUUGUAAACAAAUUGCUAAAAGUGAAACACUGUACAUUUGAUUAAAUUCUAUGGGUAACAAUUUAAAAAUGGGCUUGUCAAAAUAGGUUUGGGCCACCUUCUCAAAUCAGGGUGCAUAACUUUGGUAAUCCAUGGACAUCUUGUGAUAAAUGUACACAUUUUUGUAAAUUUUUACAAUUGUAACAACAGAAACAAACAAAUAAUUACCAUUAUAUGAACAAUAUAUUGUGCAUUAUAAAAUAAAACUUUAACACAACAGUUCAUGAAUAAAAGGCUGAAUUAAAA